rnacentral:tRNA from 1 species
GGAGUUGUGGCUCAGUGGUAAAGCACUUGCCUAGCAUGUAUGAGGCACUGGGUUCAAUUCUCAGCACCA